rnacentral:rRNA from 1 species
GAUGAACGCUGGCGGCGUGCUUAACACAUGCAAGUCGAACGAUGAUGCCCAGCUUGCUGGGUGGAUUAGUGGCGAACGGGUGAGUAACACGUGAGUAACCUGCCCUUGACUCUGGGAUAAGCCUGGGAAACUGGGUCUAAUACCGGAUACGACCAUCUGGCGCAUGUCAUGGUGGUGGAAAGCUUUUGUGGUUUUGGAUGGACUCGCGGCCUAUCAGCUUGUUGGUGGGGUAAUGGCCUACCAAGGCGACGACGGGUAGCCGGCCUGAGAGGGUGACCGGCCACACUGGGACUGAGACAUGGCCCAGACUCCUACGGGAGGCAGCAGUGGGGAAUAUUGCACAAUGGGCGCAAGCCUGAUGCAGCGACGCCGCGUGAGGGAUGACGGCCUUCGGGUUGUAAACCUCUUUCAGUAGGGAAGAAGCGAAAGUGGCGGUACCUGCAGAAGAAGCGCCGGCUAACUACGUG